rnacentral:rRNA from 1 species
AUUGAACGCUGGCGGCAGGCCUAACACAUGCAAGUCGAGCGGAUGAAGGGAGCUUGCUCCUGGAUUCAGCGGCGGACGGGUGAGUAAUGCCUAGGAAUCUGCCUGGUAGUGGGGGAUAACGUCCGGAAACGGGCGCUAAUACCGCAUACGUCCUGAGGGAGAAAGUGGGGAUCUUCGGACCUCACGCUCUCAGUUGAGUCUAGGUCGGAUUAGCUAGUUGGUGGGGUAAAGGCCUACCAAGGCGACGAUCCGUAACUGGGAUGAGAGGAUGAUCAGUCACACUGGAACUGAGACACGGUCCAGACUCCUACGGGAGGCAGCAGUGGGGAAUAUUGGACAAUGGGCGAAAGCCUGAUCCAGCCAUGCCGCGUGUGUGAAGAAGGUCUUCGGAUUGUAAAGCACUUUAAGUUGGGAGGAAGGGCAGUAAGUUAAUACCUUGCUGUUUUGACGUUACCAACAGAAUAAGCACCGGCUAACUUCGUG